CGCGUAGGAAUCUACCUAGUAGUGGGGGACAACUCGAGGAAACUCGAGCUAAUACCGCAUACGCUCUAUGGAGGAAAGUGGGGGAUCUUCGGACCUCACGCUAUUAGAGGAGCCUGCGUUAGAUUAGCUAGUUGGUGAGGUAAAGGCUCACCAAGGCUACGAUCUAUAGCUGGUCUGAGAGGACGAUCAGCCACACUGGAACUGAGACACGGUCCAGACUCCUACGGGAGGCAGCAGUAGGGAAUCUUGGGCAAUGGGCGAAAGCCUGACCCAGCGAUGCCGCGUGUGCGAAGAAGGCCU
rnacentral:rRNA from 1 species